UUUUUUUUUUUUUUAAGAUUUUAUUUAUUUAUUCAUGAGAGACACAGAGAGAGAGGCAGAGACCCACAGAGAGAGAGAAGCAGGCUCCAUGCAGGGAGCCCGAUGCAGGACUUGAUCCCUGGGCCCCGGGAUCACACCCUGGGCCUAAGGAGGGGCACUAAACUGCUGAGCCAACCAGGGAUUCCCUAGUUCUCUCCUUGAUUCACAGUCCAGCCCGUCUCCUGAGCAGACAGGGCCUCUCUGCACCUCUGUGCCCUAACUCAAGAGUUCUCUCCCUGCCAUGGACAGUCCAACACAUCUACCAGAAAAGACAUGACCUCUCCCCACCUCUGUGCUUAUACUUACAGUUCUCCCCUGAUUGACCAUCCAGCACAUCUCCAGGAGCAAACAGGGCUUCUCUGCACCUCUGGGCCUACACUCACAGUUCUCUUCCUGCCAUGGGCAGUCCAGUGCAUCUCUAGGAGCAAACAGGGUCUCUCCCUACCACAGUGUCUAUACAAACAGGUAUCUCCUUGAUGGACAGUGCAGCACACCUCCUUGAGCACACAGGGCAUCUCUGCACCUCUGAGCCUGUACUCACAGUUUUCUCCCUGCCUUGGAAAUUAUCCAAGGAGCAGACAGGUCUUCUCCACAGUCUGUGCCUGUAUUCACACUUCUUUCCCUGAUGGACACUCCAGCUUAUCUCCAGGAGUACACAGGGCCUCUCCCCACCUCUGUGCCUAUCUCACAGUUUACUCUGUAAUGGACAGUCCAGCAUAUCUCCAGUGUCAGACACAGCUUCUCCCCACCUCCCCAAUCUCUCCUUGAUUCACAGUCCAGCCCAUCUCCUGAAGCAGACAGGGCAUCUCCACGCCUGUGUUCCUGAACUCACAGUUACCUCCCUACCGUGGACAAUCCAACAUAUCUCUGGGAGCAGAGAGGCCCUCUCCCCACCUCUGUGCCUUUACUCACAGUUCUCUCCCUGCCAUGAACAGUCCAGCGCAUCUCUAGGAGCAGACAGGGUCUCUCCCUAACUCAGUGUGUGUACUCACAGUUAUCGCCCUGAUAGGUAGUCCAGCCUAUCUCUAGGAGCAGAGAGAGCCUCUCCCCACCUCUGUGCUUGUAUUCAAACUUCUCUUCCUGAUGGAGAGUCCAGCACAUCCCUAGGAGCAGAACGGGCCUCUCCCCACCUCUGAAAUGAUUCUCCCUCUGAAAUGGAGAGUGGUGCACAUGUCUAGAAGCAGACCAGGCCUCUGUACAUCUCUGUGCUUAUUCUCACAGUUCUCUCCCUAAUGGACAGUCCAAUGCACCUCCUGGAGCAUAGACAGUCACCCCCUACCUCUGUGCCUAUAUUCACAUUUUUCUCCCUGAUGGAUAGUCAAGCCCAUUCCAGGAGCAGAACAGGCCUCUACCAAACUCUGUGCCUGGACUCCCAAUUCUCUCCUGAUUGUCCAGUGCAUCUUUGGGAGCACACAGGGCUUCUCCCCACUUCUCUGCCUAUACUCACAGUUCUCUCCCCGUUGGACAGUCCACUGCAUCUUGUAGAGCAGACAGGGCCUCUCCCUACCUCUUUGCCUGCACUCACAGUUUUCUCCCUGAUUGACAUCGCAUCUUGUGGAGGAGACAGGGGCUCUCCAAACUUGGGUCUGAACUCAUUGUUCUCUCCCUGUUGGACUGUCCAGUGCAUAUCCAGGAGCACACAGGGCCUUUCCCCUCCUUUUGGCCUGUACUCAUAUUUUAUUUUAUUUUAUUUAUUUAUGAUAGGCACACAGUGAGAGAGAGAGAGAGAGAGAGAGAGGCAGAGACACAGGCAGAGGGAAAAGCAGGCUCCAUGCAC
rnacentral:lncRNA from 1 species